rnacentral:tRNA from 1 species
GCGCGGGUAUGCAAGUGGUUGAAGCAAGCGGACUGUAAAUCCGUGACGUAAGAUACAUCGUUGGUUCAAAUCCAACCCCUCGCA